AAGCGCUGCUUUAACUGAAGGCUCUCUAACAGGAGCCGGCUCCAACAUGUGAGCGGGCCGCUGUGUUCAGAACCAACACAUCAGAACUUCAGAGGAAAUGUUCCCUCCUUCAUUCACUACAUCUGACCUCACUCUGGAUGUUUCUACAGACCUGGAACAUGAUUCCAGUUUAGACCUGAAAAGGUUUCACACUCAGUUUUAGCUUCAUUUUCUAAAUAAACCAGAACUUCUCCAGAUGGUUCUGAGGAGAUCAGCCAGCAGACAUCAGGAGGUGCAUGAAGUAGUGAAGGAGAGGACAAUCCAGACCCAGAUGGUACCUGCUGAACUCAGGUUCCUCUGGUCCUCUACACACAUGAUGGGAAUCAGCUUUCUGCUUUACAGACACUGACUGGACCUGAACCACUGGGAACUGACUGGUUCUGGUUUCUCUCUCAGGCUGACUGAAGUCCAGAAGAUGGAGGAUUGUGAUCUAAAGGAGAACAGAGCAGAACCUCCAGGAUCCAGCUGUCCAUCUAUGAGGAGUGACUGGUCCAAAGAUAACCCUCCAUUCUUCAGUGAAGAACCUGGACCUUCAGAAGGUCAGAACCACAGACAGAGAGCAGAACCUCCAGGAUCCAGCUGUCCGUCUAUGAGGAGUGACCGGUCCAGAGUAGACCCUCCAGACUUCAGUCCUGAACCUGGACCCUCAGACUCAGAAACAGGAGCUGGACUGCUGGCAGCCAAUCAGAGCAGCUGUGCUCCAGGUGAGACUGAACAUCUCCAAUCAGAACUUCCUUCUAUCGUCUCUGUUGAACUAAUUCCACGUCUUUAGUUGGGAUUUGGGA